rnacentral:rRNA from 1 species
UACGAGGGGUGCGAGCGUUGCUCGGAAUUAUUGGGCGUAAAGGGUAGGUAGGUGGUCUUAUUUGUUGCGGGUGAAAGCCUUGAGCUUAACUCAAGAAGUGCCCGCAAAACGGUAAGACUGGAGUCCUGGAGAGGGUCGUGGAAUUCCCGGUGUAGCGGUGAAAUGCGUAGAGAUCGGGAGGAACACCAGCGGCGAAGGCGGCGACCUGGACACAUAUUGACGCUGAGGUGCGAAAGCGUGGGGAGCAAACAGG